GAUGAACUCCUUGAGCCUCCCCAGGAACAUCACCAGGAUAACUAUCAGCUUACCCUCCUCGGUCCACCUGCCGACGAACCCGGCUGGUUAUCAGCAUUGGCAGUGAGAAAUGAAGCAUCGGAAGGAAGUGGCGUGAAGCCACAGUUUGCGAACGAGGACACUGCUGUGAAGAUGCAAAAGAGCCCUAGCAUUGAUGUGAACACCUCUCCUCCCAUUAGCAUCAGAAGGAUCAGAACCCAGAGUUGCCUGUCAGAUAAGUCUUCCAUCUCUACUGUUGCCAUGCUCGAGACAGUAAGUGUAGACACAGAGGUGAACAAUAGGUCCAAAUCCUUUGGACCUGGCUUACCCUGGGGCUUGAAAUUCUUCAGAGCAAGGAAACCAGCAAAUGAGAUUAUCACAAAAUUGGUCUAUGUGAUUCCCUUCUUCCUGAGCAGUCAAGGAAGUCGCUACACUUGCCAGUGA
rnacentral:lncRNA from 1 species